CCUACGGGGUGCUGCAGUGAGGAAUAUUGGUCAAUGGACGAGAGUCUGAACCAGCCAAGUAGCGUGAAGGAUGACUGCCCUAUGGGUUGUAAACUUCUUUUAUAUGGGAAUAAAAUGUUCCACGUGUGGGAUUUUGUAUGUACCAUAUGAAUAAGGAUCGGCUAACUCCGUGCCAGCGUCCGCGGUAAUACGGAGGAUCCGAGCGUUAUCCGGAUUUAUUGGGUUUAAAGGGAGCGUAGGUGGAUUGUUAAGUCAGUUGUGAAAGUUUGCGGCUCAACCGUAAAAUUGCAGUUGAAACUGGCAGUCUUGAGUACAGUAGAGGUGGGCGGAAUUCGUGGUGUAGCGGUGAAAUGCUUAGAUAUCACGAAGAACUCCGAUUGCGAAGGCAGUUCACUGGACUGCAACUGACACUGAGGCUCGAAAGUGUGGGUAUCAAACAGGAUUAGAUACCCGUGUAGUC
rnacentral:rRNA from 1 species